rnacentral:lncRNA from 1 species
UGGAGAACAAUCGAAGAUGUUUCCGGCUGUAUUUUGCACGAAUCAUCCGUUGUUCCGGCAUCUAAACGCCGCGGUGAGGAAGCUGAAGUCAAGCCACGCCUCCUUGGGGUCGCGGUACCAGACGCAGACAAGUGGACGGCGAGGUCGGCGUGGAAAAGCGGCCGCGUCUCUUCUCACCUGUGUGGAAGGCGGACGCCUCUUUGCUGAGCGUCUCUGUGUGGAAAUGAAAGGCACAUGUGUGUGCGCAGCCAAACACAACACACUUCAAAUGGCCUUCAAGAGCCUGCAUUCCACGCCUAAUUGGAAGCUAAAACAGACAAAAGCCCCCUCCAAAGUGAAGUUCUCAAAGACGUAAGUCAGUCAAUCGCACGCGGAGAAGGAGUCCAAACCUCCACACAGUUGGUUUCCUGUCGCAGCUGCAGCAGGAAGUCCCAGUCCCAAUGAAAACGUUAGGGCGGCCCCCCGCCCUCGGAGAUCUACCACCUCCAGGUUCCCCCGCUCAGUUAGACUGGACUGAAACCGGAUCUGAUAUGCAGAGCCAUAAGGAACACCGUGUGGCAUCUCCUCAGACCCAGAGGGGGCAUCUCUGCGUUACGGUAAAAGACGGCGCCGUCACUUCAUACUCGCCGUUUACCAGGUAGACGGCAGGAAAACCCUUCAGUCUGACGAAUCAGAUGAUAGAAAUAAAAGUCUAAAUCAAAGUCUGGAUCAUAAUCUGAUCUGCUAAAUACAGAACUUUACAGAAAACAGAAUCUUGAAUAAUAUAUAUAUACAGAUAUUUUCAAAUGUCUUUUUUUGUCUUACAAGAAAAAUAAUCUCAUGAAGUUUUUCAAUACUAAAACAAUCUUUGAGAGAUGAUGUUUCAGUGACUAAAAUGGUUUUAUUCAAAUAAGAAUUCUUGGUUUUUCAAACCCCCUUGACAAUUUAUUUUUUGCUUAUUUAAAGAUUUUUAAAGACUUGUUUGUAAUUGUAUUUAUUUAAUAAAGGGACAAAAAACCGUGUGAAGUGUUCUAAAAUAGGGCAACACAGUAAAUACGCAGGAUUGCAGCUUAAAUCAUUUCCUCCUCAGCCGACCGUGGCCAGAAACCAAAAGACUGUAGAUGAAGCUACAGAAAUGAAAGAAC